UACGAAGGGGGCUAGCGUUGCUCGGAAUCACUGGGCGUAAAGAGCACGUAGGCGGAUUGUUAAGUCAGGGGUGAAAUCCUGGAGCUCAACUCCAGAACUGCCUUUGAUACUGGCGAUCUUGAGUCCGGGAGAGGUGAGUGGAACUGCGAGUGUAGAGGUGAAAUUCGUAGAUAUUCGCAAGAACACCAGUGGCGAAGGCGGCUCACUGGCCCGGUACUGACGCUGAGGUGCGAAAGCGUGGGGAGCAAACAGG
rnacentral:rRNA from 1 species